UCACUGAUGUGGACCAAUCUGACUACAUCUCUGACAUCUGCUUCAAAAACCAACGCCAGUAUCAGCCACCCAGCAACUGUCUCUUGAAAGAGUCAAUGUUUUAUCAGUAUCAUGUGAUUUCUCUGGAACAGAAGUGGAAAUGGGAUUCAGACCAGGAGACAAUGCCACUCUUCUACCAUUUGGAAAACUUCUCUUGAGUAAAAUCUGCCAUAUUUCUUGACUGCUGGAGUCUUUGAGGUUAAUAAUUAAGGAAACAUGUGACCACCAUUUCCUGUUGGCAUAACCUUUGUUUUCUUCAUAUUCGACCAAAGUUCCAAUUUUCUACUCUAUUAUUUAACCCCUUAAAAUCCAAUUCUUAUGACAUACAAAGGCUUAUUCAUUAAUUACAUGGACCGCAUUGCAAAAUAGCUGAGUUCUUAAGUUUAUAGAACAAUGCAGUAAAACUUUGGGCCUGCAGGGCCCUGGUCUUUUAACAUUCCAGAUGUGGAGAAGGGGCACUCCAAGUGCCUUCAGAGCAGCAAGGAGAAGGGGAAGAAGGGCUCCAGUCCUCCUUGGAGCUGGGACUGGAGCCUUGAGGGGUAGUGAGAGGGGGGCUCCUGCCCCCAUGCACACCUUGGGCUGCUGCUCCACCAGCAGGAUCCUGACAAUUUUAAGGGGUUGCCACUUGCUGUUCCUCAAGCUGCUUCCAGUGCUUUUCAGCCUCCUGGAAGACAGCCUGCAGCUCCCGUCAGCUGGCCAGGUGCAGAUGGAUGAGGGUCUUGCUGGCCUCUUCUUCUGCUGUGGAGACUCCCUCAGUGUGUUGGUAUCCUACUCCCGGGUUUCGGCGCCAAUGUAGCAUGCCCUGUGCUACCACAGGCACGAGAAGGGCACUGGAAGCAGGGUUCAUGUUUGCUGCAGUGAUUCUAUUAAUAUUCACAUUCACACAAAUUAAACACAACAUAACCAAAGAUAUGCUGGCCAUUUUUCAAUGGCUUCAGCUAGACUUUCAGUCCGUUUCAAACUAUGCUUUUUAGCUCCUCAUUCCUAUUUUGAUGCGGCUGCUCGUUCCACUCAGAUCAUUUUCUUGUCGGGCAAUGAAGAGGUUCCUUAUUAUUAUGGAGAUUCUUGGUAUUCAUCUUCCUGAGGGCAUUCCAUACUGUUAUGUGGUCAAUAACCACAUAACCAAGGACCAUUAAUGAGCUUGGCCACUGAUGUUUGGGGAGGAUCAUAGUUUGUUUUCAUAAUCAAUUCAAAUGUGUUGGAUGGGGAGAAGGUCAACCUAGGUUGGUCAAGGGGGGCACUUCCAAACUGUAAAAUCUUGUAUGAUUAAGACUUCUCUAUGCAGGAAGUAAAGUGUCCAGGCUGAACCAUGGAAAAUGGCCCCGGACAUUCCUCAACAAUUGUGAGGUCAUUCAGUUUGUGAGAUCAGCACACAGAAUGUUUCUGGAAUGUGGACAGUAGUUGGCAGAUGACUGAGGAGCGACCUGUACAUGAGUGUCUUCUGAACUCCUUUUCGAUGAUAAUGUCAAUGCUGUCUUGACAAAUAUGUUUGUGUGUGUAUGUUUGUUUGCAUGUAUUCCUACAUGUACACAGGUACUAAAUGCAAAGAAAAGUCAACGUAAAGUUGGUUCAAAUACACCUUGUCAUAGAAUCCACUCUGAAUCUAAGUCUCUAGAAAUGUGCUAGAAGGAUGGAUCACCAUUCUUCUGAAAGCUGUUCCCUCAGUUGGUGUUCUGAUGAUGGUGUUAGUGAGUGAUAUCUAACACUUGGUCCAAAACCUAUUAAAAGUGUUCAACUGGGUUAAAAUCUGGCCACCAUUAAGACCAUAUAGCAUAUGGUUUGCAUUAUUCUCAUGUUUCUGAAGCCGUUCAGUGACCCCUCAUGCCCUGUGGAUGGUGACGGAUGUAAUAACCAAGCUUAGGAUACAUGCAGUAUGUUUAAAUGUUCAGAGUAAUGUAAAUGACUGCUGUAACUACUGGCCAGAAGAGAUCGCUGUUCUUCAAUAGUAAAGGGUGACUGUCUUUGCUGGAUGACAUAGGCUGUGGUAGGAAAAAUGCACUGUGUCUAGUUAGCACCUCAUAACAGUUGCCAGUGACUCCUUAAAAAGAAAGUAAAACUAGUGUUUCUGUCUGAUUUACUACAGCACUGUGAACCUCAAAGAAACAAAAAUAGGAUCGAUCACAUUAAAAAUUAAUUUGUAUUCAUUUGUAGCGACCUUUCCUUCUGAGAAUACCCAAACCAUUCCAGCAAAUACCCCCUAAACCAUAACAGAGCAUCCAGAAACCCCAUGUAGGGGACAAGGAUUUCCAAAGUCAACAUCUUGGCAGCCUCAAAAACAGUGGGCAGGACGGGGUGCAGCACUGGUAUUGUACAUUAGAGGGAUCACAGGGACUGAGGCAAAAAACAAAGCCAAAGCCACCGAGUUAUCCACAGUGGAAGCAGCCAGAGGACCCCAAGUCACUGUGGGUACUAGAUUUCCAAUGGUUUCAGCGAAGAUAAAGCCACCAUGUUCUCCACCAAAUUCAUGCUUCAUAUCAUUCAUGUUGUGAGUUUUAAGCAACAUGUCCUACUGUGACCGAGGACAUGUGCAUGUUGGCUUCUCUAGUGCUUUCUCCAUAAGGCAUUGAAGUGAGAGGGGAAAGUGUGGACUGAACAGGGGCCAAGAACCAAUACAGAAUGUUGUGGAUGUUCCUAUGGCAGAAUCUCCAUGACAGUAAGUAAACUUACUGUCUAACUCCCUACUAGACACUCUGCAAUCAAAACAUUGCUACCACACUACAACAGGAAACCCACAGUGAUGCCCUGCACACCAAAUGUCUUUUACUGUCUGGCACAAGAUCUUCUCUGUAUUGAUAUGACCCAGCUUUUAGGCCUAACUUACAAAAUGGACCUUGAAUUUGGAGAUGCAUGAACAUUCUUCUAUUUUAGUGUCAGUUUGGGAUGAAACAGUGGUUAUCAGUGACCCCUUACUCUACUAUAUAAAACAUACCUUAGAUACUGGUUUUAAAGCAUACUUUCAUGGCAUAUCUAAUAGUUUUAGUGUAAAAUGAACCUAUUUAGGCUACUCACACAUCUUGGACCUGAAGCAGGCUGGUAGUUUACCAAAGCUCACCGUAGUCUCCUCACCCUGCAUCCAAACCUGCUAGUGACGCAUUCAAACAAGAGAACUAUUCUGUCUACAUGGACCAGUCAGAUGUAAGACACGUCUGCAUCAAAGACCAAAUAGAAGCCUGUGAUUGGCUUUUUCAGUGUCUCUCUGUGUGGUUGAUACACUAGAUAUAGAAAAGCAUUCCACUGACGUGGACCAAUCACACCUCAACAUUCUCUUCAAAGACCUUCACGCUAAGCAGCCACCCAGCACCAAUCUCUGAGAUGAAGAGGUCAAGAGUUGUUCUUACUGUACUCGUGUUUGCAGGCACAUGUAUCUCCAGAAUCUGUGGUGCAGAAGAGGAGAUACAAGUCAGACCAGGAGACGACGUCUCUCUCUACUGCGCCUGGCAGAGUGGAUUUAGUAAAGUCUGGUUUAGAAACUGUUCACAUGAGCAUCAACCUCCUCUCGUUAUAUCAGAUGCAGUUUUGAUGAGCGAUGCUCUCUCACGUUACUCACUUGUGUGGAAUCCCUCCAGCCAAACUCAUGAUCUACUGGUGAAGAACGUCACCGAAUCAGUCCUGGGUCUGUACUACUGCGCUGUACAUGAGAAGAAGACUGGAUAUCAGUUUCAAAUGAGGCUCAGUAUUGUGUGUGUGGCCUCCACGUCCCUGUAUGACCUCCCUACAACGCCUGGGCAGC